AGGGGGGAGCUACCAUGCAGUCGAGCGAGAACUUCGGUUCUAGCGGCGGACGGGUUAGUAACGCGUGGGAACGUGCCCUUCACUACGGAAUAGUCCCGGGAAACUGGGUUUAAUACCGUAUACGCCCUUCGGGGGAAAGAAUUUCGGUGAAGGAUCGGCCCGCGUUAGAUUAGAUAGUUGGUGGGGUAACGGCCUACCAAGUCUACGAUCUAUAGCUGGUUUUAGAGGAUGAUCAGCAACACUGGGACUGAGACACGGCCCAGACUCCUACGGGAGGCAGCAGUGGGGAAUCUUAGACAAUGGGCGCAAGCCUGAUCUAGCCAUGCCGCGUGAGUGAUGAAGGCCUUAGGGUCGUAAAGCUCUUUCGCCAGGGAUGAUAAUGACAGUACCUGGUAAAGAAACCCCGGCUAACUCCGUGCCAGCAGCCGCGGUAAUACGGAGGGGGUUAGCGUUGUUCGGAAUUACUGGGCGUAAAGCGCGCGUAGGCGGAUUGGAAAGUUGGGGGUGAAAUCCCAGGGCUCAACCCUGGAACUGCCUCCAAAACUAUCAGUCUAGAGUUCGAGAGAGGUGAGUGGAACUCCGAGUGUAGAGGUGAAAUUCGUAGAUAUUCGGAAGAACACCAGUGGCGAAGGCGGCUCACUGGCUCGAUACUGACGCUGAGGUGCGAAAGUGUGGGGAGCAAACAGGAUUAGAUACCCUGGUAGUCCACA
rnacentral:rRNA from 1 species